UACGUAGGGGGCAAGCGUUGUCCGGAAUCAUUGGGCGUAAAGCGGGUGUAGGCGGCUUUGUAAGUCAGGAGUGAAAUCCCCGAGCUUAACUUGGGAAGUGCUUUUGAUACUGCAGAGCUUGAAUGUGGGAGAGGGUAGUGGAAUUCCAGGUGUAGUGGUGAAAUACGUAGAUAUCUGGAGGAACACCGGUGGCGAAGGCGGCUACCUGGCCCAACAUUGACGCUGAGACCCGAAAGCAUGGGGAUCAAACAGGG
rnacentral:rRNA from 1 species